UACGGAGGGUGCAAGCGUUAUUCGGAAUUACUGGGCGUAAAGCGCACGCAGGCGGCCUUGUAAGUCAGGGGUGAAAUCCCACGGCUCAACCGUGGAACUGCCUUUGAAACUGCAGGACUUGAAUACUGGAGAGGGUGGCGGAAUUCCUGGUGUAGGAGUGAAAUCCGUAGAUAUCAGGAGGAACACCGGUGGCGAAGGCGGCCACCUGGACAGGUAUUGACGCUGAGGUGCGAAAGUGUGGGGAGCAAACAGG
rnacentral:rRNA from 1 species